CAACAUCGGAUGCAAGAACGUCUUAAAUCAGAACUAACAAUAAACUUACUUACUUACUUACUUUCUCCUACUUUGCAUUCCGCGUCCUUUUUUCUUUUUUUUAUCUUUUUAAAUAUCUUUCGAUAAGGCAGAAAUCCGCAGAGAAAGUUCGACGACAGAAACCUCUGGUUCAAUUAACCGUGCUUUUUUGCUCGAGAAUUGUACGUUUACACUUGCGAUCGUGAGAAACAAUCGAAAUUUUUAUUAUUUCGCGACGAAUUUCAAAAAUUUAUAUCAUCGUUGGAAUGAAUCCACGAAAAACCUAUCAUUUUCUUUCUCCUAAAUUUGUCGCGUUAAUUUACCGUCCUAUCGAAUGGGGAAAAUUUCGUGACGCCGUUCGAAACGUCGUAACGGCUACAGCGUCACGGCCCGUUUUCGUGGAACAUGCUAUGUUUUUCCAGCUACGAAGGGGUGGCUUUUAACUUUAAGGCGGCUCCCCGUUUCUAUUAAUUCGAAUUACGGUCGGACUUUGCACCGCGACGCGGAUACGUGCGACGUCUGUUUAACGAUGUUUCAGCGUCGUUUGUAUGCCACGCGUUCUAUUCUCAGCGCCGUGCAACCAUUGCGAAAUAAACACGAUUAUACGCGGAGACUGGCGCAAAUUUCGAACUGGUGCCCAGUGUUAUAGUUAUUUCUCCUUAAAAACGAAAUAAAAAUGUAGAGGGGAAACAAUUCGGAGGAGAGAUAUAAAUAUAAAGAUACGAACAAGAUUAUUCUUCUUGUAUUCUUCUUGUAAUCGUUUAUAAUUUUUCAUUUAAUCAAUAAGGUUCCAAAAAAUAAUUUUGCAAGUAUAAUAAAUAAUAUGAAUGAAUUUUUUGCUUAUUUUGUAUCAUAGACAUGUAUAUCGCCCAUUUCUAUUUAUAUUCAUGUAAGUGUAGUUGGGAAUAAAAGGAGCUCGACUAAAAUUUGAAUAAUCAGACGCUACGUAAAAAUACAGAGUUCCGCUGUACAUCUUUUAGGAAAAUGGAAAUUUUAUUUAUCCUCAUAUUUUUAAUAUUUAAUAUUAUAUAACAGCGAGUAGAGAUCAAUGUCGUCAUACCAAUCGUUUCAAAUUUAAAUACACGCAGUCAAUUUGAGCGUGAAAUUAUCAUUAUCGAGGCAAAGAAUUCUUAAUUAUCCGUUAAUUAAUGAUAAAAUCGAUACGCUCUUCCCUGAAUUGGCCGCAUAGUUUAAAACAUGCCAAGUUAUCCGCGUCUUUAAAACGUCGUCUUCACCCAUCCAGAGAUGAUAUUCUAUUAAUUUGAAUCACGAACGGACUUUGCGUCACGUGCGACGUCUGUUUAAUUGCGAUCCCGUGUAUUUGGCGAAUGCCACGAAUUUAAUGUCUAUGGCGUGGCCGAGAGUAUCGAGAAGUAUCCGGGAAUAUUCGAAAAUUUCGUUAAAUUAUUUCAAGUUCACCGUGCGUAAUUUAACGCAAUGAAAUGAAUUCGUUGAAUUUUUACAAUGAUUUUCAUACAACGGAAAUUCCAUUAAAUGCGAACACGAAUUUUUAACAAUCGUUGAAUGCACGAACGAUUCGAUACCAAGAUGUUUAAUGGCUGAAGAACUGGAAAAGUGCUGGAAAUUUUAAAUAUUUGCUCGGUACGCUUCAUAAAGAAGCAAUAAUUAAAAUAACGAAAAUAAAAAAUAGGAAAAAAUUGCGUUUUAGACUUUGCUUUUUUAAUAAUUGAUAAUCGGAGGGCUGAGAUAAUCAAGUGCAAGAUUGAUAGAAAAUGAAACCAUAUAUUAUAUAUUACAAUAUUAGUUACAAUUUAAAACCAACCCAAUAUGAAAGAGAACGUAAAAAUAUACUAAGAAAGCUAUUCUUUUCUUAAAUAUUCAUUUCUAAAUAUGAACUCGAAAUAAUUUCCAUGUAACUUAUGUCAUAUAUUUAAACGGUAUAAAAUACUCGAGCAAUCUUCAGUUCAGAGCAUGAAACCAAGUUUCAUCCAAAAGCGUAUCUCCGCCGUAAGUUUGUGAACCGUAAAUCUUACGGGAUUGAAUCUCACCUCCGAAACGCAAGGUUUUAUCGUUAAUAAACGCAAAUACUUGGCGCAAUAUUGCUUAUGCGAAUAUUGAUACACAUUAACUGUCGAAGCGAUAGGAACAUUGUCGACGACAAUGGCGGGAAGAACGGUGCCGCAAGCACCUUAUUGAACAACGAUAUUAAUGCUCUGUGUGCGUGGAAGUUUGCAAACGAUGCUGGGGACGCGUAAUCGCGUGAAACAUCGCAGUAAGGGUUGGAUUUAACGACUCGCCAGAUUCCUUCGCCUCAUCUCAUCUAUUUCAGUCCCAAAAUCACUUCUGUGAUUGCACUAUUCAAAUUAGGGAAGCACGGAUAUUUAUAAUUAUAACGAAAAAUCGUAUUUAAGUGUUUUCUUUUCCGUUUCUUUAAUUUUUACUGUUUAAACAAAUUUUUACUUCAGAGAUACAAAAAAAUGUUGAUAAAAAUUAAUUUUUGCUUGGCGCUGAAGUGAUUUUUCUUUUUCCAAAAGUGAAACGAACAUCGAAAGAACACCAUUUCAUGACACUAAUAGCAUAAAACAGCAUAAAAUUCCAUAAAAUCACUUUCAAUAUUUUUUUUCAACGGUGGGUAACACGAGAAAUGCUCGCUUCUUUACCGUAAAUGGAAAAAUUAUUUAACAUGGCAAGCGACGUAAAAAAGAAGGAAGAAAAACAGGUGGCGCGAUGUGCACACGAAGCUGGAUGAUGUACAAGUGUUAAGUCGCGCGCGAGAAGCAUGCACAUAAGGCGAGAGCAUAUAUUUCGCGCAUGCAAUCCACCAGUAUGGAAGAGAAAUAAUAUAUAACGAGCAGGAGAAGAUGAAAGGUGGUGGUGGUGGAAAAAAAUAAGAGGCGAAAUUUGCCGAGAAUCAAGGAAAAAAGUGUACAAACCUUGGUGGUUCUUGACGUGCCCGCUCUUUUUCGCGGUUAAGCCCGUCUCUCUUUUGUCCUCACACAAGUGAACGCGUGGCUGUGCCUUUGAAAAUAUUAACCUAGGUCUUAAGAAAGCCAUAGUUCCUCCAAGUUUUCGCAGUUUCAAAACUUAAGACGCAACGAAACAAUUCACAUGGUUCGCCUCGUUUUUUUCAAAUUGACUGCACGACCGAUGAGACUUUAAGAUAUGGAAAAUGAAUUGGAUGUUUAUUUAUACCAUUUGUUCAUUCUCUUUGCUUUCUCUUACCAAUCUUACUUUCGUUGGAUAAGUCAUUAAUAUAGCAUACAAAUAUUUAAAAUAUAUUUUCGUUGCGAUUCAACCACAACGCGUAUCCUGCAAAUGACAGUGUGGUACGAAAAGAAUACAUAUACAUAAAUAAAAUAUGAUUUUUGUCACGUAACAGUUUCGAUGCAUUAGUUAUGCUGUGUUAAACUUCUUGCAUAUGAAAAAGAAAAAAAACAAAAAGAAUAUCCUUUUCAUAGAACGUAGUUAUUAUAAUAAAAAUAAAUUAUUAUAUUACUUCA